rnacentral:misc_RNA from 1 species
AGGUGGGGCUGAUGACUGGGGUGAAGUCGUAACAAGGUAUCCGUACCGGAAGGUGCGGAUGGAUCACCUCCUAACAGGGAGACAACACAAUGAUUUUGAUGCCUGAGUAUUUUUAUUCUUAGGCCGAAAUCCUGUCACCUUAGGUCGAUCGGUACCUCAGCUUUGAAGUUAAGAAUCAGCAGCAAUGUUGAUUGCUUGAUGGAGAUUUUCAGUUCCUAAACUUUGUCUAGGUCACACCCCAAAAGGGAUGAGACUCCUGGGCCAUUAGCUCAGGUGGUUAGAGCGCACCCCUGAUAAGGGUGAGGUCCCUGGUUCAAGUCCAGGAUGGCCCAUUCGGUGUUGGGGGUUUAGCUCAGUUGGUAGAGCGCCUGCUUUGCAAGCAGGAUGUCAGGAGUUCGAGUCUCCUAACCUCCACUGACCGAACUUUAUCCCCCCUCCAUUCAAUGGAGUUGAGCUCGAUUGGUGUGUGAUUUAGAUGUGUCCGCUGGAUGACCCCAGCUUCCUGUCAUUCCAAGUUUUAAGUUCAAAGCUUUGAAUUUGGUUGAUAAGAUGCUGGGCUCGGAUCAAAUGAUCAAGUAAUUGAUGAUUUGAUUUGAAGUUCUAGCAGAACCUUGACAACUGCAUAGGUGAAGUCUGGAAAAACAAAGCAUCUUACAGAUGCAUUGUUUUGAGUCUAAUUUUCUGAAAGGAAGAUUAGACCCAGAACAAUGAAAAUUCUUUUGAGCAAGAGCCGAGACUCUUGAAUGUUCUUUGAUUCGUGUCGAGCGAAUCAGAGUUUGAUCUUGUUUUUAGCAAUAAAAACUUGAGAAUCUGCUUUCAACGGCGGUAAGCGUUCAAGAGGUUAAUUGGUCAAGCUACAAAGGGCUCACGGCG